UACGUAGGGCGCAAGCGUUGUCCGGAAUUAUUGGGCGUAAAGAGCUCGUAGGCGGUUUGUCGCGUCUGCUGUGAAAACCUAAGGCUCAACCUUGGGCUUGCAGUGGGUACGGGCAGACUAGAGUGCGGUAGGAGUGACUGGAAUUCCUGGUGUAGCGGUGGAAUGCGCAGAUAUCAGGAGGAACACCGAUGGCGAAGGCAGGUCUCUGGGCAUUAACUGACGCUGAGGAGCGAAAGCAUGGGGAGCGAACAGG
rnacentral:rRNA from 1 species